rnacentral:rRNA from 1 species
GAUGAACGCUGACAGUAUGCCUAACACAUGCAAGUCUUACGCCAACCCGUUAUUGGCUUGCCCUUCCAAGUCGCACGUGUCGGACACGUGAGAGGUACUUCGCCUUCUACUUGUUCGUGCAGACUAACGUAGCUGAACUUACCCUACUACCUCAUGCGGCCUCCUGUUGAACGCAAUGGAUCUUCAUACCUCACGCGAUUCAUUCGGCCGAUGUCGUAUUAGGUAGUUGGCGGGGUCACGGCCCACCUGGUCGACGAUCCGUAGCUGGUCUGAGAGGAUGAUGAGCGACACUGGAACUGAGACAAGGGCCAGACUCCGACGGGAGGCAGCAGCGGGGAACAUUGGACGAUGGGCGCAAGCAUGAUCGAGCCAUAGCGCGUGGGUGAAGAAGGCAUUCGGGUUGUAAAGCUCUUUUGUUGGGAAAGAAAAGCAGCAGGCUAAAACGCAGAUGUUAUGACGGUACCUAAAGAAUAAGCAACGGCUAACUUCGUG